UACAGAGGGUGCGAGCGUUGUCCGGAAUCACUGGGCGUAAAGGGCGCGUAGGUGGCGAGCCAAGUCCAUGGUGAAAGCUCGAUGCUCAACAUCGAGUCGGCCACGGAUACUGGUGCGCUUGAGCACUGUAGAGGCUAAUGGAAUUCCGGGUGUAGCGGUGGAAUGCGUAGAGAUCCGGAAGAACACCGGUGGCGAAGGCGGUUAGCUGGGCAGUUGCUGACACUGAGGCGCGACAGCGUGGGAGCAACAGG
rnacentral:rRNA from 1 species